rnacentral:rRNA from 1 species
UACGUAGGGGGCUAGCGUUGUCCGGAAUCAUUGGGCGUAAAGCGCGCGUAGGCGGCCCGGUAAGUCCGCUGUGAAAGUCAAAGGCUCAACCUUUGAAUGUCAGCGGAUACUGCCGGGCUAGAGUCCGGAAGAGGCGAGUGGAACUCCUGGUGUAGCGGUGGAAUGCGCAGAUAUCAGGAAGAACACCAGUGGCGAAGGCGCUCUGCUAGGCCGUAACUGACACUGAGGGACGAAAGCUAGGGGAGCGAAUGGG